rnacentral:misc_RNA from 1 species
GAUGAAGAACGUAGUGAAAUGCGAUAAGUAAUGUGAAUUGCAGAAUUCAGUGAAUCAUCGAAUCUUUGAACGCACAUUGCGCCCAUCAGUAUUCUGUUGGGCAUGCCUGUCCGAGCGUCAUUUCAACCCUCAGGGCCCGUUCGCGGGAACUGGUGUUGGGGAUCGGCCUCCCCCCUGAGGCCGGCCCCGAAAUGCAGUGGCGGCUCUACCGCGAUCUCCUCUGUGUAGUAGCGAUACCUCGCAGCUGGAUAGUGGUGGUGCCACGCCGUAAAAUCCCAACUUUACCAAGGUUGACCUCGGAUCAGGUAGGAAUACCCGCUGAACUUAAGCAUAUCAAUAAGCGGAGGA